UACAGGGGGUGCAAACGUUGCUCGGAAUUAUUGGGCGUAAAGCGCGCGUAGGCGGCUACUUAAGUCGGAUGUGAAAGCCCUUGGCUCAACUGAGGAAGUGCACCCGAAACUGAGUGGCUAGAGUACGAAAGAGGGUCGCGGAAUUCCCGGUGUAGAGGUGAAAUUCGUAGAUAUCGGGAGGAACACCGGUGGCGAAGGCGGCGACCUGGGUCGAUACUGACGCUGAGGAGCGAAAGCGUGGGGAGCGAACAGG
rnacentral:rRNA from 1 species